UAGGGAAUCUUCCACAAUGGACGAAAGUCUGAUGGAGCAACGCCGCGUGAGUGAAGAAGGGUUUCGGCUCGUAAACUCUGUUGUUAAAGAAGAACAUAUCUGAGAGUAACUGUUCAGGUAUUGACGGUAUUUAACCAGAAAGCCACGGCUAACUACGUGUCAG
rnacentral:rRNA from 1 species